CAUUUUUUUUUUUGGGGAAAAGGGAAGCUUUAUUGACUUACAUUGUUAUAACAAGAUGAUUACAACCAAUACAAGCCGCUCUUAGUCUCUGUAUACUAAAGAUGCACACAGUCCAAAAUAACAAAAACAAACGGGAAACACCGAGAAAAUGAGGCAACAACUUGGUAGAAACAUGAACGGUCCCUGUAACUAAGGAUUCUGAAUCCGAACCCUAGCCAAGGCUGCUGAAAAACCUGACUGCCUACUCCAGUCUUGUACAUGCUAUAGCAACUAUCUCCCGCGAGUAGAAGAAGCAUAUACCAGGUACAGAGCAAUUACAUAUAUGUAAAAAUAACCUGCAAAGUAGAAGAAGCUUUCUUAUUAUUAAAAAUAAUGUCAUUCUGCAUCAUAUAGACCAGCAUAUGGCUACCACUCUGACCAUAAUAUUAGCUUUUAUGCUUUUACUAAGGUCUCGUAACUAGUUUCCAAACAUAUUGGUAGCAUUUUGUGGUGGGUAAAGGUUUUUAGUCAUCUGGAUCAUGAGCCAGGCGGAAUGAGCAAAACGGCAUUCAAAUAAGAGAUGCCUAAUUAUCUCAUCUUUGUAACAAAAAAAUACUUCUGACUGCCUUGCCAUCUUAUUUUUUUAGUUAUCCUUUGUGAGUAAGUCCAUCUCCAACAGAUACUCUAAAAAUUUAUCCCCUAUAAUACUAUUACAGUAUCCUCUAACACUAUUACAACAUCCUCUAUUUUUUCAUCUCCAGCAGCUACCCUAUUUCCUACCUUCCUUUACUCUCCUCUUCUUUUCGCCCCCAUGGUCAUACUCUAUGAAUAGUGUUGAGGAUCGCUACAGUAGUCCACAAAUUUUGAGCACCCUCCCUCCCGGCCGUAUCCUUGUAGCAGGUGAUACGACAUCUGUUGGAGACCGAUACAGGAGCUAGGAUCGGCAAAAGGACAGCACAGUACUGAGCACAGUGUUGCAAACUCGAUUUUGCAGACGCUGCUGGAGCUGUCCUAAGACUCCCUGCUGAAUAUUCCAUAGGAAGAUCCUAAUUUUUGAAGGUAUUUUCAGCUUCUAGAGGUUUUUAUUAAUUUUUGGAGGAACUACUUGUUUUAAAGCUUGGUAGAGAGAGUUCACUGAGAAUUGUCCAUCUUUGAUCAGAUUCCAGUGGAAUUCGUCCCGCUCGCUUGUGAGGUCAAGGCUAUCUAAUUUCGAUAAAAUCCCUUUGAAUGCUAAAAGGCGAGAGCCAUCUAGAUUUUGGGAAAAAGAGAGAUUUGCUAGGGGUGACUGGAUCACCUUGACCACAAUUUUAUCUAUAUAUCGGGUUAUACUAUAAAGGCCAUGGUAUUGGUCGCACAGAGGAGAGUCUCCCAACCAUGUGUCUUCCGAAAACCUAAUUUGUGAUCCAUCCUUAAUGGCCAAUGUGCCAAAAAGGAACAACUGUCACUUUACUUUCAUAAGUCCAGCCCAAAAUAGGGAAUCUCUCGAUUUUCAUCUAAUUUGGGAUAAGGCCUUAGACCCCAAAUAUUUAUCCCUCAGCAACUCUUGCUAUUUUCCCUCAAGAUAACAGACCCCUAAACUCCCUUGAUCUUUGGGUUGGCAGAUGGUCAUCCAUUUCACAAGGCAGUAUUUUUUUUAUGUCCAUCGGUUUGCUAAUAAAAUCUUGAUCUAAAGUAAUCUAAAUGUUUAACCACUCCCUAAAGGAUUUGGAAAAAGAACAUCAUAUACAUGGGUAAACUGGAGAGGAUCGAAUUAAUAAGGAACAGUACAUCCCUUGACGAUAGGUUUUUACCUAUCCAGUCGGACAACCUCUUCGCGAUCCUCUCCUAUACCCCUUUCCAAUCGCCAUUUUUCAACUUCCUAUAAUGGAUUGGAAGACCUAGGUACCUUAUAGGUAGGUUGCCUAACGCACAUCCAGAAAGCUGGGCAUAUUGCUCUGCUUUGUCUUGUGCCAUCGCAAAACAAAACAAUUCACUCUUGUGAAAGUUGAUUUUGACCCUGGACAAGCAUUCAAAGGCACAAAGUAGGAGUUUCAAAUUCAUUGUUUUUUCUAGGUUAUCUAGGUUAUGAUCCAAAAAGAGAAUUUUGUCAUCUGCAUAUUGGAGAUAUGAGAGUCCAUCUUCAAUCAGAUGUGAAAUUACUCCUUUAAAUUGCCCUGCCACUAUUGCCCUUUCUAUCAAAGUAGCAAGCAUGUCAUCUACAAUGUUAAAGAGGAGAAGAGGGAGAGGGUCACCUUGGCGGACUCCUUUCUUGGUCUAGAAGAAAGGUCCAAUAGCAUCGUUUACUUUAAUGGCCGCACUGCCCCUAGAAAUGAUCUUUUCAAUCCAAGAGCAGCACUUGGGGGAGAGCCCUUUCAUCUGAAGGGAUUGCAAAAGGAAUGACUAUUUGACCUUGUCAUAUGCCUUUUCAAAGUCAAUCUUCAAAAUGACCCCAUUCAGCUUUUUGCGGUAGAGUUCAUGGAUUGUUUCAUGCAAGAUUACAACCCCUUCAAGAGUGUUUCUCCCUUGGAUGAAAGUUGUUUGGGUUGGAUGAAUUAUCUUAUCCACCACUGCAUUCAUUGAUUUAGUUAUAGCCUUUGUUAUGAUUUUGAAACUAACAUUCAACAAGCAUAUGGGACGAUACUGCUAAAUUCGGUUUGCUUCUUUGGAUUUUGGCAGGAGGGUGAUCCUUCCAAAGUUGAGGUUGUGGAUUUGCAGGUGAUCCGAAUGUAAAUCGUGGAACAUUGUCAUAAGGUCAACCUUAAUGAUUUCCCAAAAGGUUUUGUUAGGAAGUUAUUUUUGGUUUCAAACACCCGGGAGAUGCCAUCACUUGGUGAUUCAAUCAUCGUGAAGCUGAAGAUGCGUUGCUUCCUGUCACGUCCAUUUGCCCACAUAUGAAAGAAUUUCGAUUUGCUGGGUUUUUGGAGCCUGGAGCCUAGGUUUGCUGAUCUCAUACACACAGAGGAUAGCUGAAAGAUACCUCCAAGGAGUCCGACAGGAUGCAGAGAAUAACUAAACUCUCUCUAACAAAGGCAAUCAAUAUAAUCAAGAACAAUUCUCAAGCAGAAGAGAAAUGAACAGUGCUUCAAGGUGAUUUGAUUUUUCUGUAGGUUUAAUUCAUGGCCACUAUUAACGAUUAGUGAACCGUUGAUCUUACAAAUUUGUAUAAUAGAUGGGGAUGUCUUGAGUAGACAAAUCAAAGGAACACACAGAUGGGGUUUUAGACAGGUUUAGACCUCCUUUAAGAU